rnacentral:rRNA from 1 species
CUCGUAGGUGGUUUGUCGCGUCGUCUGUGAAAUUCCGGGGCUUAACUUCGGGCGUGCAGGCGAUACGGGCAUAACUUGAGUGCUGUAGGGGAGACUGGAAUUCCUGGUGUAGCGGUGAAAUGCGCAGAUAUCAGGAGGAACACCGAUGGCGAAGGCAGGUCUCUGGGCAGUUACUGACGCUGAGGAGCGAAAGCAUGGGUAAGCAAACA